CUGCUUUCAUGUGAAUCAUGUAUGUACAUCUCCUUGUUCAUUUUGGAUUCUUUCUGUCAGCUCCACUCUAUCUACCACCAAAGGAAUAUUCACAGGCUGAAAGACCUGGGGUAUGGUAGGCAGGAGAAAGUUCUAGAAAGGACUCAGUACUGGAUUUUGAGGCAGGCUGUCUUCAGUGAUGACAACAAGCUUGAAUACAAGGUCUGACUCUUCUGCUUCCUCAUCAUGCGAAAUGGGGUUGAAGAAAUGUUUUACUAUCAGAGGAAACAUCCCAUUGCCAUUGUUCUAGAAAGAAUACCAAUUUGGCCUUUCAAGCCUAUUGAUGUGUUGUAUCCCAUUAGCUGAUUUUUGAAUGUUGAACCAGCCUUACAUACCUGAGAACUAGACACCAGAGUCCCAUAUUGGGAAUGUGGCCUGCCCUCUUCAAGAUCUCUGUGAGCCUGACCGGAGGUCAGCAGGCAGAUCAGAGUCAAAAAAGCAAUGUGAUGAUGGAAGCAUAGUUGGAGUGACGUGAUUUGAAGAUGCAGGAAGCGGCUACAAGCCAAGGAAUGUGAGUUACCU
rnacentral:lncRNA from 1 species